rnacentral:rRNA from 1 species
GGCUCAGGAUGAACGCUGGCGCGUGCCUAAUACAUGCAAGUCGAACGCACAGCGAAAGGUGCUUGCACUUUCAAGUGAGUGGCGAACGGGUGAGUAACACGUGGAUAACCUACCUCAAGGUUGGGGAUAACAUUUGGAAACAGAUGCUAAUACCGAAUAAAACUUAGUAUCGCAUGAUACCAGGUUAAAAGGCGCUACGGCGUCACCUAGAGAUGGAUCCGCGGUGCAUUAGUUAGUUGGUGGGGUAAAGGCUUACCAAGACAAUGAUGCAUAGCCGAGUUGAGAGACUGAUCGGCCACAUUGGGACUGAGACACGGCCCAAACUCCUACGGGAGGCUGCAGUAGGGAAUCUUCCACAAUGGGCGAAAGCCUGAUGGAGCAACGCCGCGUGUGUGAUGAAGGCUUUCGGGUCGUAAAGCACUGUUGUAUGGGAAGAACAGCUAGAGUAGGGAAUGACUUUAGUUUGACGGUACCAUACCAGAAAGGGUCGGCUAAAUACGUG